rnacentral:rRNA from 1 species
UACAGAGGUCCCAAGCGUUGUUCGGAUUCACUGGGCGUAAAGGGUGCGCAGGUGGGUUUGCAAGUUCGAUGUGAAAGCCCCGGGCUUAACCCGGGAAUGGCAUUGGAUACUGCAGAUCUGGAGGAUCGGAGGGGGGACUGGAAUUCUCGGUGUAGCGGUGAAAUGCGUAGAUAUCGAGAGGAACACCUGCGGCGAAGGCGGGUUGCUGGGCCGACACUGACGCUGAUGCGCGAAAGCCAGGGGAGCGAACGGG